CAUCCUGAAGACGGCACCGGAUUAAAAUGCAAACAACCGGGCCGAAGCGGAAAGGAAGCGAUG
ncrna:zeta proteobacterium SCGC AB-604-O16 Zeta-pan RNA